rnacentral:lncRNA from 1 species
GUGAAAACACUUCAAGGACCUGAAAAAAAAAAAAUGGUGAAAAAGCGAACAACCUUCCUUGCAAAACAACUCCAGAUGAGUAGGAACGUAUAAUGACCCUGCAGCAGGAGAACGAGAGAGGGGGAAGAAGGAAAUGGAGGGUGUAAGUGAAUUAAUUGACUGUAACAUGUUUAAUGAAAUAAGUAGACGUGUGAUGCAAAUUUCUUAAUAGUCAAACGUUAUGCAACAUAUGAUGCAUAAGAAUUGUACUAUCUCAAAUUUUUUUUAAUGUGAGAUUCUCUUGAUGCCACUUUCAUUUACCUACACACACACAAAUAGCACAAAUCACAUAUACAUAUACUGACACGAAAAUAUAUAUGUGGGAGGGAGAGAAAGAGGGAGGAUAACUUUAAUCAUGAUACACUGCCAAUAUAAGAACUCCCUUUUGGCCAGGCGCGAUGGCUCACACCUGUAAUCCCAGCACGUUGGGAGGCUGAGGAGGGCGGAUCACGAGGUCAGGAGAUGGAGACCAUCCUGGCUAACACGGUGAAACCCCGUCUCUACUAAAAACACAAAAAAAAUUAGCCGGGCGUGGUGGCGGGCGCCCGUAGUCCCAGCUACUCAGGAGGCUGAGGCAGG